GGAAUUGCUAGUAAUGGCAGGUCAGCAUACUGCCGUGAAUACGUUCCCGGGCCUUGUACACACCGCCCGUCACACCAUGAGAGUUGGGAAUACCCGAAGCCUGUGAGCUAACUUAUAGAGGCAGCAGUCGAAGGUAGAAUCAAUGAUUGGGGUGAAGUCGUAACAAGGUAAC
rnacentral:rRNA from 1 species